rnacentral:misc_RNA from 1 species
CUCUCUCUCUCUCUCUCUCUGUUCAUAUAAUGUACAAAAAGUAAUUUGGCAAGUGCACUAGCCUACGUGGAUAUGCACUUGGAUUUGUACUUCAACUUACCGACCAUGUCUAUAACUCAAUGUAAUUAGUGCAAGUUCGUCCAAAUCCGCAUCUGUUUCACAACUUUAAUGACACAAUUAAACAUAGUUGGUAACUAUCGCUCUACGACGUCCCUUUGGAAGGAAAAUUUGUCUUACCAACAAUUUGUGCUAAUGUGUGACACUAAAUAAUGAAUGGAGCAAACCUGGCAAAAAGGACAUGUAAUUGCGUCAA